rfam:Xanthomonadaceae bacterium SCN 69-320 ABS97_C0006, whole genome shotgun sequence.
GGGGGUGUCACGGCUUCGACGGGGGUAGUGAGAUAGUUGGGUGCAUGCCGAGGGGGCAGCUUUCCUCGUUAAUCCAGCGGCAAACAUUCAGACGCCAACGACGACGUCUACGCUCUGGCCGCUUAAGGCCUAGCCCCGAACCCACUUGUGCCUGUGCUCGUGGAUGUAGGGUCAUUAUCACAGGAUCGCUGGAGCCCGCCGCCUGUCGGUGCCCGGCUAAAACUUACAGGCUGGUCCACCGGCGCGCUUCGCACACCGUGCUGCCGGGAGACGAGAUCCAACGGUGAGCUAAGCAUGUAGUACCUGGCGUCAAGCGCCUUCGGACGCGGGUUCAAUUCCCGCCACCUCCACCA